ACGAACGCUGGCGGCGUGCUUAACACAUGCAAGUCGAACGGAAAGGCUCUGCUUUUGUGGGGUGCUCGAGUGGCGAACGGGUGAGUAACACGUGAGUAACCUGCCCUUGACUUUGGGAUAACUUCAGGAAACUGGGGCUAAUACCGGAUAGGAGCUCCUGCUGCUUGGUGGGGGUUGGAAAGUUUCGGCGGUUGGGGAUGGACUCGCGGCUUAUCAGCUUGUUGGUGGGGUAGUGGCUUACCAAGGCUUUGACGGGUAGCCGGCCUGAGAGGGUGACCGGCCACAUUGGGACUGAGAUGCGGCCCAGACUCCUACGGGAGGCAGCAGUGGGGAAUAUUGCACAAUGGGCGGAAGCCUGAUGCAGCAACGCAGCGUGCGGGAUGACGGCCUUCGGGUUGUAAACCACUUUCGCCUGUGACGAAGCGUGAGUGACGGUAAUGGGUAAAGAAGCACCGGCUAACUACGUG
rnacentral:rRNA from 1 species